GGGGGCUUUCAGGGGGAGAAAAUACGGGGAACUCUGAGGUGACGAAAGAUGAGGGGAUUGAGAGUACGAGGAAACUCUGGGGAGACGGGAUAUAAAGAAAGCGAGUGGAGGGAUUGAGGGGGGCAGUGUCGAGAAACUUUGAGAGGACAGGAUAUGGGAGGGGAUCCUGAGGGCGAUGCACCUGUGGCGACCAGGUCGGCCACUUCCCGGAGAGCCACACCCCGCCGCUGGGAACAUUGGGCCCCGCAGCCCCGGGCGGUCCACGCCCACAGGGUAGGCCCGAGGCCUGGGGAGCCUGUGGGGCCUCCCUGCCCUCAGCAGCGCUCGGCCCGGCCGGCUUCGGUGCGCCCGGAAAAGUCGUCCGGCACCAUUCCGGUGCGCAGCUCCGCCGCCGCCCUGCCGCUGACGUUCCGCUGCCGGGAGGGGAGAGGGCGCCGCCCCGCGGGCUCCGAACGCCGGCUCCACGUGAGUGGCCGCGGGCACACCGGGACAUGGGGACACGGGGCCUCGGGGGCCGGGUGGGCCCUGGGCUGGAGAUCACGGCUCCGGGAUCCGAGAGGGCACCCGUGUAAAAGAGUUGGGGAGCAUCGGAGCGGUAACAAUUUAUGUUUAAAAUUUGUAAUACCUAUAUUACCUCAUCUAUAAAGGAUUCAAAAGGAUUCUUUUGUUUCUGUGAAGGCCCAGGUGAGUAUAUAACAUAAACUUGUCAUAGAUCCGCUUUACCUGGCUUUAUGAUCUCUAGCUUUGUUCAAUAGUGUGUAAACAGGGACAGUGUCUGUCCAUGUGGGGAGUAACCCAAGGCCGUGUUUAGUAGGGCAAAUCCUUUGAUAGGACAAAUAGGCAAGGACUUGAGAAGAGUGUGGAGUUGAAUUGGUUCUCUGAGGGUCAAGAGGGACAAACGAGAGUGUAACUAGUGUAGGAGAUGGUCUGGGAAAGACCUGAGGGGUGCAGAUAUUGGAGUUUGCAGUUAGGACAAAGAACAGAAUAUGGGGUUGCAAUGUUGAGGGAGUGCUGAAAUGGCAACAGAUUAUGCUCAGGUAAAAGAAUUUCAGAGAUUGAACAUGAUGUGGAACAGCUAUUGACCUCUAAUUUUGGAUCUCCAAUUGCCUUUUAGAAAUCUCAGACUGGAUGUCCAGUAGACAUCCUAAAUUCAACAUAUGCAAAAGAACUCUUUAUCUUUCCCUCUAAACCAUUCUUCACUUCUAUCUUUCCUAUUACUAUGAAGGGCAACACCAUUCUUCUCACUAUUCUCCAAUAUCUUGGAAACAUCCUUGUCUCCACAAUCUCCCACUCCCCCAAGUCCAAGCUGUUGCUGAGGCCUGUUGAUUGAACUUUUCUAACAUCUCAUCACUUUGCACUUUGAUUACUACAACAGUUUGCUAGUGGAUCUGCCUGCCUCAAAUCUCUACCUAUUCCAAUGCAUUCUCCUUUGUGCUACUAAAGUAAUUUUCUAAAAGGUAAGCCUGAUCAUGUUACACUACUCCAAACUCUAUUCCUUCCUGUUGCCUCUAGGAGCAAAUACAGAAUUCUGUUUGGCAUUCCAAGCUCUUUGUAACCUAUGCGCCUUCUACCUUCUCACACUUUACUCCUCAGCACAUACCCUUCAGUCCAGUGACAUUGACCUCCUUGGUGUUCCAGGAACCAAAUACUCUUAUCUCUGCUCUGAGCAUUUUCUCUGGCUGUUCCUUAUGCUUGCAAUUCUCUCUCUCCUUAAUUCUGCUUCCUGACUUCCUUUAACCUCCAGCUAAAAUCCUGUCUUCUACAGGAAGGCUUUUGCAGUGCCAUCUAUCUGUAACUUAUUUCCUAUUUAUCCCAUGUAUAUAGCUUGUUUGUUGUCUUCCCCAUUAGAUUGUGAACUCCUUGGGGCAAAUACUAUUUUUGCCUUUUUGUAUCCUCAUCAUUCAGAAUAGUGCCUGAUACAUAAUAGACACUUAAUAAAUGUUUAUUGAUUGAUGAUUGGUCCUAUUCCCACUAAACUCCCUCCUCCUACAGGAAGACUUCCCUAACUCCAUCUAAUUCUAGUGUCUUCCUUUUAUUUUCCUUUUUAUCCUGUAUAUAGUUUUCUUUGUGUAUAUUUGUUUGCAUGUUAUCUUUCCAGUUAAGAUUGUUAGUUCCUUGAAGGCAAGCACUAUUUUUUUACCUCUUUUUGUAUCUCCAGAGUUUGGUACAAUGCCUGGAUUUGACAUUCUGGCAGGGUAUCUAGAUAAGAUGGUUGAUACUAAAGAAAGAGCUUUGGAAUUCAUCUCAUACUUGAAUAUUUUAAAGUUUCUGUGGCUUCACCUAAUACUGUAUACCAAGAUAAGGUUGAAAUAGGUUCAUGAUCUAGACAUAAAGAAUGAUAUUACAAACAAAUUUGAAGAACAUAGGAUAGUUUACCUCUCAGAUUUGUGGAGGAGGAUGGAAUUUAUGACCAAAGAAAAACUAGAGAUCAUUAUUGAUCACAAAAUAGGUAAUUCUGAUUAUAUUAAGUUAAAAGUUUUUGUACAAACAAAACUAAUUCAGACAAAAUUAGAAGGGAAGCAAUGAAUUGGGAAAAUAUUUUUAUAUUCAAAGGUUCUAAUAAAGCCCUUAUUUCUAAAAUAUAUAAAGAAUUGACUCAAAUUUAUGAGAAUUCAAGCCAUUCUUCAAUUGAUAAAUGGUUAAAGGAUUUGAAUAGACAAUUUUCAGAUGAAGAAAUUAAAACUAUUUCUAGUCAUAUGAAAAGGUGCUCCAAGUCACUAUUGAUCAGAGAUAUGCAAAUUAAGACAACUCUAAGAUACCACUACACACCUCUCAGAUUGGCUAAGAUGACAAGAAAAGAUAAUGACAAAUGUUGGAGAGGAUAUGGGAAAACUGGGACACUGAUACAUUGUUGGUAGAACUGUGAACAGAGCCAACCAUUUUGGAGAGCAAUUUGGAACUAUGCUCAAAAAGUUAUCAAACUAUGCAUACCCUUUGAGCCAGCAGUGCUUUUCUGGGUUUAUAUCCCAAAGAGAUCUUAAAGAAGGGAAAGGGACCCACACAUGCAAAAAUGUUUGUGGCAGCCCUUUUUGUAGUGGCUAGAAACUGGAAACUGAAUGGAUGCCCAUCAGUUGGGGAAUGGUUGAAUAAGUUAUGGUAUAUGAAUGUUAUGGAAUAUUAUUGUUCUGUAAGAAAUGUCUGACAGGAUGAUUUCUUUUAUUUUAUUUUUUUAUUUAAUAGCCUUUUAUUUACAGGUUAUAUGAAUGGGUAACUUUACAGCAUUAACAAUUGCCAAACCUCUUGUUCCAAUUUUUCACCUCUUACCCCCCCACCCCCUUCCCCAGAUGGCAGGAUGACCGGUAGAUGUUAAAUAUAUUAAAAUAUAAAUUAGAUACACAAUAAGUAUACAUGACCAAACUGUUAUUUUGCUGUACAAAAAGAAUCAGACUCUGAAAUAUUGUACAAUUAGCUUGUGAAGGAAAUCAAAAAUGCAGGUGUGCAUAAAUAUAGGGAUUGGGAAUUCAAUGUAAUGGUUUUUAGUCAUCUCCCAGG
ensembl:lncRNA